GUUUUCUAGACAUCAUAAUGGCAACAUCCACACAACGUCAAAUUAAAACAUCAUUUGAUGUUGAUCUGUAGUUAGUUUUAGGUUGUGGCAUUAACUAACCAAAAUCCAACGUCGAGCCAACGUCUCAAGCCAACGUCAGAUUGACAUCAAAAACUGAUACUUAGUCGUCAGGUAUGGCAACCAAAAUCCAAUGUCUUCAAGACGUCAUAAUGGUAACGUCCAAUCAACGUCAAAUUAUAACGUCAUUUGACUUUGAUCUUUAGUUAGUUUUAGGUUGUGGCAUUAACUAACCAAAAUCCAACGUUGAGCCAACGUCUCAAGCCAACGUCACACUGACAUCAAAUACUGAUGUUUUGUCGUCAGGUAUGGCAACCAAAAUCCAACAUCUUGUAGACGUCAUUAUGGUAACGUCCGAUCAACGUCAAGUUAUAACAUCAUUUGAUGUUGAUCUGUAGUUAGUUUUAGGUUGUGGCAUUAACUAACCAAAAUCCAACAUCAAGACAACGUCUCAAGCCAACGUCAGAUUGACAUCAAAUACUGAUGUUUAGUCGUCAGGUAUGGCAACCAAAAUCCAAUGUCUUCAAGACGUCAUAAUGGUAACGUCCAAUCAACGUCAAAUUAUAACGUCAUUUGACUUUGAUCUUUAGUUUGUUUUUAGGUUGUGACAUUAACUAACCUAAACCCAACGUCGAGCCAACGUCUCAGGCCAACGUCAGAUUGACAUCAAAAACGUAUGUUUUGUCGUCAGGUAUGGCAACCAAAAUCCAACAUCUUGUAGACGUCAUAAUGGUAACGUCCAAUCAACGUCAAAUUAUAACGUCAUUUGACUUUGAUCUUUAGUUUGUUUUUUUAG
ensembl:lncRNA